CUGUGGACAACAAUGAGUCUGAAGAUAGAAAAUAUAUGCAGGAAUGUCCUGUCUGCACUGAGAUCUUCCCUACUGACUUCAUUGAGGUGCACGCUGCUUCAUGUGUGGAAAGGGCAGGAGAAGAGGUGACCCAAGAAAGCAGUGCAAUUGAAGAAGACCAAACAGCAAUGCCUGGGCCAUCCGGAGCUCACGCUACUGUUAC